GGGGAUUUAGCUCAGUGGUAGAGCGCUUACCUAAGAGGCCCUGGGUUCGGUCCCCAGCUCCG
rnacentral:tRNA from 1 species